UAGACCUCAAAUCGGGUG
rnacentral:rRNA from 1 species